CGAACGCUGGCGGCGUGCCUAACACAUGCAAGUCGAACGUGAAAAGGGAAACCUGAGUAAAGUGGCGUACGGGUGAGUAACGCGUAGGUAAUCUACCCCAGAAUCUGGAAUAACCUGCCGAAAGGCGGGCUAAUACUGGAUAGAGCGAGGGAACUCGUAAGAGAGUUUUUCGGGAAAGGGAGCCCGCAAGGGCCUUCGUUCUGGGAUGAGCCUGCGUCUCAUUAGCUAGUUGGUAAGGUAACGGCUUACCAAGGCGAUGAUGAGUAGCUGGUCUGAGAGGAUGAUCAGCCACACUGGAACUGAAACACGGUCCAGACUCCUACGGGAGGCAGCAGUGGGGAAUCUUGCGCAAUGGACGAAAGUCUGACGCAGCCACGCCGCGUGAGUGAAGAAGGCCUUCGGGUUGUAAAGCUCUGUCGGAUGGGACGAACAUCUUCAUAGUGAAUAGCUAUGAGGACUGACGGUACCAUCAAAGGAAGCACCGGCUAACUCCGUG
rnacentral:rRNA from 1 species